AUUGAACGCUGGCGGAAUGCUUUACACAUGCAGGUCGAACGGCAGCACGGGGGCAGCCCUGGUGGCGAGUGGCGAACGGGUGAGUAAUACAUCGGAACGUGCCCGGUCGUGGGGGAUAACGUAGCGAAAGUUACGCUAAUACCGCAUACGAUCUGAGGAUGAAAGCGGGGGACCUUCGGGCCUCGCGCGAUCGGAGCGGCCGAUGUCAGAUUAGGUAGUUGGUGGGGUAAAGGCCUACCAAGCCGACGAUCUGUAGCUGGUCUGAGAGGACGACCAGCCACACUGGGACUGAGACACGGCCCAGACUCCUACGGGAGGCAGCAGUGGGGAAUUUUGGACAAUGGGCGCAGGCCUGAUCCAGCCAUUCCGCGUGCAGGACGAAGGCCUUCGGGUUGUAAACUGCUUUUGUACGGAACGAAAAGGCUCUGGCUAAUACCUGGGGCUCAUGACGGUACCGUAAGAAUAAGCACCGGCUAACUACGUG
rnacentral:rRNA from 1 species